rnacentral:rRNA from 1 species
CUUGAACUUUAUAAGAGGUCCAGCCUGCCCAGUGACUCUGUUCAACGGCCGCGGUAUCCUAACCGUGCGAAGGUAGCGUAAUCACUUGUUCUUUAAAUGUGGACUAGUAUGAAUGGCACUACGAGGGUUAUACUGUCUCCUUUUUCUAAUCAGUGAAACUAAUUUUCCCGUGAAGAAGCGGGAAUACAACUAUAAGACGAGAAGACCCUAUGGAGCUUUAAACGACCUAGCAAUUACUUCUAAAAUUAUAAAUUUCAGAAUACUCAUUCUUUAAGUAAUAUGUCUGCAAGUUUUUGGUUGGGGUGACCAUGGAGAAUAACACAACCUCCAUAUUGAAUGAAUUUUUAUUCUAAGCUAAGAAUUACUAAUUAAAGCAUCAACACACUGACAUUUAUUGACCCA